rnacentral:rRNA from 1 species
AGUCGAGGGGUAUAUGUCUUCGGAUAUAGAGACCGGCGCACGGGUGCGUAACGCGUAUGCAAUCUACCUUUUACAGAGGGAUAGCCCAGAGAAAUUUGGAUUAAUACCUCAUAGUAUAGUGACUCGGCAUCGAGAUACUAUUAAAGUCACAACGGUAAAAGAUGAGCAUGCGUCCCAUUAGCUAGUUGGUAAGGUAACGGCUUACCAAGGCUACGAUGGGUAGGGGUCCUGAGAGGGAGAUCCCCCACACUGGUACUGAGACACGGACCAGACUCCUACGGGAGGCAGCAGUGAGGAAUAUUGGACAAUGGGCGCAAGCCUGAUCCAGCCAUGCCGCGUGCAGGAUGACGGUCCUAUGGAUUGUAAACUGCUUUUGUACGAGAAGAAACACUCCAACGUGUUGGAGCUUGACGGUAUCGUAAGAAUAAGGAUCGGCUAACUCCGUGCCAGCAGCCGCGGUAAUACGGAGGAUCCAAGCGUUAUCCGGAAUCAUUGGGUUUAAAGGGUCCGUAGGCGGUUUAGUAAGUCAGUGGUGAAAGCCCAUCGCUCAACGGUGGAACGGCCAUUGAUACUGCUAAACUUGAAUUAUUAGGAAGUAACUAGAAUAUGUAGUGUAGCGGUGAAAUGCUUAGAGAUUACAUGGGAAUACCAAUUGCGAAAGGCAGGUUACUACUAAUGGAUUGACGCUGAUGG